GUUAGCAGAGAGGUGGUAGCAGCAGCAUAACUGCUAAACUGAAGGGAGAUUCAACAUGCAGCUCAAUGGAAUUUCUGUCUACUUCUACUGUGUCAUAUCUGGAAUUUUAUAUUUAAUCAAUUUCUUUGAAUCAGUGGGUUGAACAGGGAAAAUCAAAGUGGGUGGAACUCUGAUUAUCGCAUCCAGAACCUAAAAAUGCCUCUGCAUCAGCCUUUAGACUUUCACCUGUGCAUCUCUUUUCAGCAUUUAAAAUACGAAAAUCCCUGAAUGAAUGGUUUUCAAGACACUGGCUGGAAGGUAUUGGUGAACCUCAGGAAUAGCAGAAGUGGAAAAUGUUGUAAUCUGCCAAAGGUGCAACAUGAGUUUUUUUAUUUACAGUCUGUAUGUCCUCAUUGGCCUCCUGCUUCUCUCUCAAGUGGAAGUGGUGUAGAGUGGAGGGUCUAAGGUUUUGGCUCUGCCUAGUCAAGCAAGAUAGAGAAGAUAAUGAUGGGGAGAAAUCACUGAAGAUUAGAAAAAGAUGAACAAUUAAAAUAAAAUUUUGAAAAAAAUUACUGAUCAACUGGGAGGAAAGAACAACCAGAAAGAAAAGAGCAAGAAGAAGUAAGUAUCUGAGACUAGAAAUACAUUGAAAAGAGAAUGGAUGAGAGCUGAAAAUCCUCAGAAGAAAAGCCUUGACAUAUAAGAGAAGUCACCACUAAAAAGUGAAAAACAUGUUGUAUAGGCAAGAGUAAAACUGCCUAUAAUAAUAUAUUUGAAUUAGAUAAGAAUAUAUAGAGACAUAGAAAUUAUCUGCAUGUGUGAGAAAACUGUUGCCAGAAGAAGCACUUAGGUCUAAGAGAGUAAGAGCAAAUAAUGAAGUGCAGGCAGCAGAAAGAGGAAGUCACCCAAUCACUAAGAGCAAUAAAUGAAUUCUGCUUAAUAGUCCAUUUGCAGUCUGGACUGACACUGGGAAAAGUGAGCACUGAAAAGCACAAACUUGGACAAAUUGGAGGAGGACAUUUUCUUUGAGAAGAAAAAAGGUAAGAAUUGGAACAAACAUUCUGAGGAAGUGCCAUUUAAUUAAUAAAUGAAGGACAAUCGAAGAAACAUGAAAUGAGAAAAGCUAUGCAGGUAUGGAACUGGGUAUCAGCCUGGAGUCAUGUUCACAACUGAGAAAACUGUUAGGUUGCAAAGGAGAAAAUAAAUCUUUUCAUUGAUCCCCAGAAAAUACUUGGAGGGAAGAGCCAGGUUGGUUCAAGAAAAGAAUGACUGAUAUGGAAAUGGAGCAGUGACCACAAAACAUACAUAAAAACAUACAUCAAAAUGAGUAAAAAAAAAGAAAUUAGACAGCAUUUGCAAUGCAUAGCUGUCCCUAGGGAGUAUCAGAUGAGAUUUGCGACUUUUGUAGCAGACCAAGAUAGCCCUGGUAAGGAGAUGAAUACCUGAAUGGAUUUAGCUUGAACAUGAAUCCACUGACAGCAAGAAGCUACAGAAUCCCUGAGACAGUAUCUGGAGAUGUCAAAAUAAAGUAUUACUGUUUGCUGAGUACCAGUAUGUCGUAGUUCAAAAGUGCAAAGUCUUCCUGUAUAUCUUUGUUUCUAAUACAGAGCAUUAAGGAGAAUUAUGGUUCUGUCUGAAAGGUUUCCUUGGCUUGUCACUCAACUGUAGCACAUGGUAGAUGUCUGCAAAGCCAUCGUCUCUUUCAGCAAAGCUUGUGAAGAGUCUGGAGAGCAAGUCAUAUGAGGAGUGUCUGAGGGAGCUGGAGGUGUUUAGCCAGGAGAAAAGGAGUCUCAGGAGUGACCUCAUUGCUCUCUACAACUACCUGAAAGGAGGCUGUAGCCAGGUCAGGGUCAGGCUCUUCUCACAAGCAGCCAGCACAAGAGGAAAUGGCCUCAAGUUGUGCCAGAGCAGGUUCGGGCUGGACAACAGGAAGAAUUUCUUCACAGAAAGGGUUGUCAAGCAUGGGAAGAGUCUGCCUGGAGGAAUAGUGGAGUCACUGUCCCUGGAGGUACGUGGCCCUUUAGGACAUAAUUUAGUGGUGGUCGGUUGGAUUCAAAGAUCCAAGAGGUCUUUUCCCACCUAAACAAUUCCAUGAUUCUGAGCCAGUGUCAUGGCUCUCCAUGUGUGGUAUGGAAGAGCCUGAAAAUCAGCCAGCUGCAGGGUGGGUAGGACACCAUGCAGAGAGCAGGGAGCAGCCUGCCUUUGGCACAGUCAAGUGCACAUACACUGCUAGAGAAUAAUGUUCAGCUCACUAGAGGCCUGGGAAAAGCAGAUUGCCCAGGGGCUGGGAGAAUUCACACUGCCUUUCAGUAGAUGAGCUGAUGGCUGUAAAUAAGCAUUUUAUUUUUAUUACGGUAAAUAAAUGCUCUGGGCAGUUCUUAAGGCUUUGGGACUCUCAUUACUGUCUUCUCUCAGAUAAAUUUCUUCAAACAAUGUUAUACACAAUACUUAUGAAAGUGUGUAUGAAAGUGAGAAUUCUAAAUAACAAACCUGAAUAAUUGUCACCAAAAGCAUAUGCAUGCUGGGACACAGCCUACUGUGGUUUCUUAGCAUUCUGACAUAUACCUUUGAAGACCGUGAAUGCAUAGUCUUGAAGUACUGAAAAAUUAAAACAGAUGUUAUGGGGAAAGUUGAAAGUCAAUAGGCAACCUCAAUAUAUGAUAGAUACGGAAAAAAACACUUCUAGUAAUUGGUGUAUGCUUAAAUAUUAUUAUUGAACAGGAUGACAAUUUACUGAGAGAAAAUUAUUGUGUCAGAAGUAAACAAAUAAUAAGAUUGUGCAGAGAGAAAGAUGUUGGACAUUGGUAAUAUGGAUAUAGGCGAGGCACUUUGAAGAUUUUCCCAUGGCAGACUCAAUCAGUGAAUUUGAAUGCUGUCCUCAUCCUAAUACGCCUUUCUGGCUCCUAUGGCAGAAUUUUUCAAGAAGGAAAUAUACUCAUAGGUAUAGCUUUGAUUUAGCUAGAAUAAUUUUAAAACUCAUUAAACCAUUAAACAAUAUCAGUACCUGGAUAUAUAAGAGUAACAUGUUAGCUAUUAUAGUGAGAGAAACAAACUCACCUGAAUUCACACAUCCAGAGAGUACUAAAUGCACCUUAAGUAUUUUUGUGUGCAU